GAUGAACGCUGGCGGCGUGCCUAAUACAUGCAAGUCGAGCGAACAGACGAGGAGCUUGCUCCUCUGACGUUAGCGGCGGACGGGUGAGUAACACGUGGAUAACCUACCUAUAAGACUGGGAUAACUUCGGGAAACCGGAGCUAAUACCGGAUAAUAUAUUGAACCGCAUGGUUCAAUAGUGAAAGACGGUUUUGCUGUCACUUAUAGAUGGAUCCGCGCCGCAUUAGCUAGUUGGUAAGGUAACGGCUUACCAAGGCAACGAUGCGUAGCCGACCUGAGAGGGUGAUCGGCCACACGGGAACUGGGACACGGUCCAGAGUCCUACGGGAGGCAGCAGUAGGGAAUCUGCCGCAAUGGGCGAAAGCUUGACGGAGCAACGCCGCGUGAGUGAUGAAGGUCUUCGGAGCGUAAAACUCUGUUAUGAGUGAAGAACAAAUGUGUAAGUAACUAUGCACGUCUUGACGGUACCUAAUCAGAAAGCCACGGCUAACUACGUG
rnacentral:rRNA from 1 species